GAUUAGAGUUUGAUCCUGGCUCAGGACGAACGCUGGCGGCGUGCUUAACACAUGCAAGUCGAACGGAAAGGCCCUGCUUUUGUGGGGUGCUCGGUGGCGAACGGGUGAGUAACACGUGAGUAACCUGCCCUUGACUUUGGGAUAACUUCAGGAAACUGGGGCUAAUACCGGAUAGGAGCUCCUGCUGCAUGGUGGGGGUUGGAAAGUUUCGGCGGUUGGGGAUGGACUCGCGGCUUAUCAGCUUGUUGGUGGGGUAGUGGCUUACCAAGGCUUUGACGGGUAGCCGGCCUGAGAGGGUGACCGGCCACAUUGGGACUGAGAUACGGCCCAGACUCCUACGGGAGGCAGCAGUGGGGAAUAUUGCACAAUGGGCGGAAGCCUGAUGCAGCAACGCCGCGUGCGGGAUGACGGCCUUCGGGUUGUAAACCGCUUUCGCCUGUGACGAAGCGUGAGUGACGGUAAUGGGUAAAGAAGCACCGGCUAACUACGUGCCAGCAGCCGCGGUGAUACGUAGGGUGCGAGCGUUGUCCGGAUUUAUUGGGCGUAAAGGGCUCGUAGGUGGUUGAUCGCGUCGGAAGUGUAAUCUUGGGGCUUAACCCUGAGCGUGCUUUCGAUACGGGUUGACUUGAGGAAGGUAGGGGAGAAUGGAAUUCCUGGUGGAGCGGUGGAAUGCGCAGAUAUCAGGAGGAACACCAGUGGCGAAGGCGGUUCUCUGGGCCUUUCCUGACGCUGAGGAGCGAAAGCGUGGGGAGCGAACAGGCUUAGAUACCCUGGUAGUCCACGCUGUAAACGGUGGGUACUAGGUGUGGGGUCCAUUCCACGGGUUCCGUGCCGUAGCUAACGCUUUAAGUACCCCGCCUGGGGAGUACGGCCGCAAGGCUAAAACUCAAAGGAAUUGACGGGGCCCCGCACAAGCGGCGGAGCAUGCGGAUUAAUUCGAUGCAACGCGUAGAACCUUACCUGGGUUUGACAUGGAUCGGGAGUGCUCAGAGAUGGGUGUGCCUCUUUUGGGGUCGGUUCACAGGUGGUGCAUGGCUGUCGUCAGCUCGUGUCGUGAGAUGUUGGGUUAAGUCCCGCAACGAGCGCAACCCUUGUUCACUGUUGCCAGCACGUUAUGGUGGGGACUCAGUGGAGACCGCCGGGGUCAACUCGGAGGAAGGUGGGGAUGACGUCAAGUCAUCAUGCCCCUUAUGUCCAGGGCUUCACGCAUGCUACAAUGGCUGGUACAGAGAGUGGCGAGCCUGUGAGGGUGAGCGAAUCUCGGAAAGCCGGUCUCAGUUCGGAUUGGGGUCUGCAACUCGACCUCAUGAAGUCGGAGUCGCUAGUAAUCGCAGAUCAGCAACGCUGCGGUGAAUACGUUCCCGGGGCUUGUACACACCGCCCGUCAAGUCAUGAAAGUUGGUAACACCCGAAGCCGGUGGCCUAACCGUUGUGGGGGAGCCGUCGAAGGUGGGACUGGUGAUUAGGACUAAGUCGUAACAAGGUAGCCGUACCGGAAGGUGCGGCUGGAUCACCUCCUUAAUCU
rnacentral:rRNA from 1 species